UCCCGGCAGCGGAGAAGGGUGUUUGAGGUGGUUUGCUGGGACUCGGCGGCCGGGAUCCUUUUGGGACAGAGGACCUUAAAGACUGACAUUUCCCAGAGAAAGGCGACUCUUAGUCGCAAGGUCCCCUCGCUAAAAUAAAGGGACCCAUUCAAACUGAGGUCCGGAAGAGAAAGGAUGAGGGCUACGUGCUACCGCAAGGUCCAAGCCGCGCGGCUAGGCUUUUUGACUCGGGGAGGAGUUCUUGCCCGGGUUUACUGAGCCCGUGGUGGCCCUCCUGAGCCAGCGUUAGGUGUGACCUGGACGGCGUGCGAGGACGGAACACGGGUUAAUGGAGAAGCGCGAGUGGGAACGACGGAGCCAGAAAGCACGUGGGGAGUAGGGGAAGCGCCAUUGGAUGCGCGAUUCCUGAUUCGCUGAGCCUCUGGUUCCCCUCUGAGCGACCUGGAAACCAUGGCAUCCCAGCGAUUCCUUCCAGAUGCUAAGUCCUAAGGUUUUUGAAGUUGCGGCGAGUGGGGACGACUCUUCGUUGCGGUGUGCAGGCUUCUCAUUGCGGUGGCUUCUCUUGUUGCGGAGCACGGGCUCUAGGGGCUGCUGAGUUGAGAGAACAUAAGCCUGUUGCUGCUGAAGACCACUCUAUAAAAAGAACCUGAUCUGAGAAUGAAGCCCAGCUCAGAGGGAAGCAGUCAAGAAGGGGAGAGAGACCAAGUUCUGAUGACAUCACUUGGCCCCUGGAUCCUGCUGGGCCAACCCCAGAACUUUUCAGUUUUUGAAAAACCAGUUUGCCGGGAUUUCUGUCACUUAUUACUGAAAGAAUUUUGGUAAAUAUACCUUCCAGGUGCAAGUACACUACUUCUAUCAUAUUUCCUUGAA